CGGUAAUUCCAGCUCCAAUAGCGUAUACUAAAGUUGUUGCAGUUAAAAAGCUCGUAGUUGGAUUUCUGCGGGGACGGAGCGGCCGGUCGCAACUUGCGACUCGAGCUAGCGCUUUCCCCGCAUCCUGCCGCGAACCGUGCUACCAUUAGUUUGGUGGCGCUGGGGAUCGGCUCGAUUACUUUGAGAAAAAUAGAGUGUUCAAAGCAGGCCACACGCCUUGAAUAAGUUAGCAUGGAAUAAUGACUAAGGACUUUGGUUCUUUUCGUUGGUGUUCGGGACUGAAGUAAUGAUUGAUAGGGACAGUUGGGGCGGUCCGUAUUCCAAAGCGAGAGGUGAAAUUCUUAGACCUUCGGAAGACGAACAGCUGCGAAAGCGUUCCGCAAGGAUGUUCCCUUUGAUCAAGAACGAAAGUUGGGGGAUCGAAGACGAUCAGAUACCGUCGUAGUCUCAACUAUAAACUAUACCAGCUAGGGAUCGGCCAACGUUUAAUUAUUCGACUUGGUCGGCACCUUAUGAGAAAUCAAAGCAUCUGGGUUCCGGGGGGAGUAUGGUCGCAAGGCUGAAACUUAAAGGAAUUGACGGAAGGGCACCACCAGCCGUGGAGCCUGUGGCUUAAUUUGACUCAACACGGGAAAACUUACCAGGUCCGGACAUAGUAAGGAUUGACAGAUUGAUAGCUCUUUCUUGAUUCUGUGGGUGGUGGUGCAUGGCCGUUUUUAGUCGGUGGAUGUGAUCUGUCUGCUUAAUUGCGUUAACGGACGAGACCCCAGCCUGCUAAAUAGCGCGGCCGAGCUUUGCUCGGUGCGAGCUUCUUAGAGGGACCAUGAUGCGCGAUAGCACAAGGAAGUUUGGGGCAACAACAGGUCUGUGAUGCCCUUAGAUGUUCUGGGCCGCACACGGGCUACACUGGCGCCUGCAACGAGCAUAUCAGCUGGCCCGAGAGGGUCUUGGCUAAUCUUUGGAACCGGCGCCGUGCUUGGGAUUGACCAUUGCAAUUGUUGGUCAUGCAACGAGGAAUGCCUUGUAAACGCGAGUCAUCAGCUCGCAUUGAAUACGUCCCUGCCCUUUGUACACACCGCCC
rnacentral:rRNA from 1 species